UCUUAGUGGCGAACGGGUGAGUAACGCGUGAGUAACCUGCCCUAGAGUGGGGGACAACAGUUGGAAACGACUGCUAAUACCGCAUAAGCCCACGGUACCGCAUGGUACUGAGGGAAAAGGAUUUAUUCGCUUUAGGAUGGACUCGCGUCCAAUUAGCUAGUUGGUGAGGUAACGGCCCACCAAGGCGACGAUUGGUAGCCGGACUGAGAGGUUGAACGGCCACAUUGGGACUGAGACACGGCCCAG
rnacentral:rRNA from 1 species